AAUUAUUUGCUUUUAAUUUGUAUUUAUUGAGGUUAUAAGCCUUAGAUGGCUAUUGGAAAACAUAAAUUUUGGACUCAAGAUUCAUGAGAGGUAACUCUAAUUGGUUAAGAUAUCAAGUGUCAACAUCAAUGUUAUUAUUUCACCAAAUAAAAUUAAGGGAGCUUUAGUUUUAACAGUCCUGAUCUCUUGGACUACAAGGGUUCAAGAAAUUUGUGGUCACUCACCGUUGGAUGUAAAUUCA
rnacentral:lncRNA from 1 species